GACGUAGGGCGCAAGCGUUGUCCGGAUUUAUUGGGCGUAAAGAGCUCGUAGGCGGCUCGUUGCGUCGGCUGUGAAAACCCGCAGCUCAACUGUGGGCUUGCAGCCGAUGCGGGCGGGCUGGAGUUCGGUAGGGGAGACUGGAAUUCCUGGUGUAGCGGUGAAAUGCGCAGAUAUCAGGAGGAACACCGGUGGCGAAGGCAGCCCCCUGGGAUGUGACUGACGCUCAUGUACGAAAGCGUGGGGAGCAAACAGG
rnacentral:rRNA from 1 species